rnacentral:lncRNA from 1 species
GAGGGGAGGCGACGCGGACACUUGGAAACAGCCUAGUAGAGUCUUUUUUAAAAAACAAUCUGCUUAUAUAGAUUUUUUUUUUUAACCUUUCGUGCUCAGGAGUCUGCGCGGUCUUUAAGUUAGUAAAUACUAUUCGGCAUUCCCAAUGUUAAGGGAUUAGUAGUAAUGUAGUAAGAUUAGUAAUGAUGCAGUAAUACGGUGUAGCUUUAUGCAGAUUCAGAUGCCCGGUGUUCACGAACUUAACACUAGAAAGCUAAUCUAACGUUUUCAGAAAUACUUUAAAAUUUUCAGCUGGUAGAAAUGGUAAUGCUAGGACUGUACGGAUUCAUAGACAAGAAUAGGAAGCUAAGGCCGGGACCCAUGGCAGUUUUUUUUUUUAUAGUUCGUUUGAGAAAAAUAGCAACAGCUGUUAAAUUCCUUACUCUUCUCGUGUUUAUAAUCUCAUUCUAGAGUUAAAAACUGUUAUUCCGUGUGUUAUUCAUGCGCACUGGAGCUGUGUCAUGUGCAUGAGAACAGGAGUACCGUGGUCCCUUGAGGCUUGGCAGCUAGUGUCUUUAACUGUUGAGCUGCCUCUCAGACCCCAGAAUUUUUAAAAGACUCAAUAUUUAGUGCUAUUUGUAUCUUAAAGUUGAAUUGAGGAACAAAAAAUUUGAACAUCGUUGUAAAAGUUAGAGUUUUAUUUUCAGAGAGGAGCAAAAUUGUCUGUUACGCGUUAAGAGCUCUGUGUAAGACAUAAUCUCUGACGAUUAUGGAGACAUUGUAAAUACAUAAGCAAGGUUCAAUUUCUGGGACCUAAUUGUUUAAAAUGAGGAAACAAGAUGUCUGUGAACAUCCUACUUAGUCUCUAAAAACCGGUUGCCAAAACCACUUGUUGUAAUAACCCCUUUUACAGCCUAGGGAUGCAGGUGACUCAUCGGGGCUGAGACUCUGAGUGAUUCCGGAUUGGAAACCAGCUAGCUAGCUAAGGAAUGACUUAAUUGGUCUGUGGUAAUGCUCAGUGAUAUAUAGUGUGUUUUAUAUGUCUUUAUGGGCAUAGGCAUGGGAAGCAUUAGGGAAAGAAAGUAUUAGAGUUCAGGUGCAUCAUAUUUAAUGAGUUUCAUGUUUAAGUCAUCUAAAAUUCCUUUUAACUUUUAAAACAGCAUACUGAUUGUUAGGCAAGUGUUUAACUUAAUAGACCUCAGAUAAAAUAAAUGGCAAUUUUCAGGAUGGAGGAACUGUGUUUCGAUGUUAUGCAUACUUAAUUUCCUACCUCAUAUAUUUAAGCCUGCCAUCCCUAUGAUAAAUUUUAUAAGAAGAUGUCAUGGCAUAAGUAUCCAUUAAUGUGGGGAGUUGUGGAAAGGAAGAGUUUUGUUAAUCCGAGGAAUAGCAUAUUGGCAAGAGUCACAAGGGAAAAGUGUCCUGAGCUCCUGAAGUAGUGAUGAGGAAUAGAACUGUAUAAUGAGUACGUUCAGAAAGGUAAAGUAGGACUGGAGGUGUCAUUUGUUCAGCUGUUCCUAGGAAUACAACAUUGAGCAAAACAAAGUUCCUUUCUCUCUAAAUCUCUUGAUAUAGUAAGAUUUAUUUAUCUGCAUCAAUAAUACCGCAUUGUGCAUUUUAUUUUUUGCUGCACCCAAAAUAGAAGCUGUAUUUAUUAUUUGAAUUGUGUGUGUAUCUCAGCACAUGCCCAUAAAGUGUGUAUCUGCUUUUUUUUUUUUUUUUAACCCUUUUUCUUCUGUGUGUGUAUGUGUCUGUGUGGUGCAUUGUCAACGCUGGUGAGUAUGGAGGUCGGAAGUGUGGAUGGCAUUGCUGCCGGGGAAUACCCCAUGGGAACAGGAGAUGCUAUAAACAACUGAGCAUCUCUCCAGCCCCAAUACAUUGUCUUCUAUGUAGCUGCAUCUGGCUGUAUGUAACCCAGGCUAGUCACCGGGUUACUGAGAUUACAGUUGAGGAUGCUUUCAGUCAGGGCCUUCCUGUGUAGUCCAGCGUAUUGAGAACUCUUGUUCUUCCCAAGUUUGUUUCCCAAGGGCUUUUAUUGGAGGCUUGUAACACCAUACCUGCCUGACUUGGAUGUUUUCUGGUUUUAUUUUUCUACUUUAAAAAGUCAGAAGCUAGCUGGAAGUAGUCAUUAGUUUGAGUAAAAUGUUAAUGUACAGGAUACAUGACAAUUACUACAAUAGCAAUGUGAAUGAAGAUAAUUUUUUUCUAAUACUUAUGUGUAUAAAUAUUUUUGCUUGUAUGAUUGUUUACCACAGUUGGGCUUAGUGCCUGAAAAAAUCAGAGGAGGGUGUUAGGUGCCCUGGAAACUAGGGUUACAGGUGGUGCUAAGCUACCUAGUGAGUGCUGGGAACCAAAUUUGCAUUUUCUGAAAGAGAAGCCUUUGCUCUUAACUGCUAAGCUAUCUCUCCAGCCC